rnacentral:lncRNA from 1 species
AUCAUAGCAAUAAGAUUUGUAAAACAUUGCAAUGGCUGAAAAACUGUCUAACAGGAAAUUUUAAGUGUUAUUCCAAAGAAGAACAAGCCUAAAAUUAAUCCUCACAGUGGUUCUCAGAAGUAAAUAUUUUUCUGCCAUUUUACCCAUGUGGAAACUGAGGCUCAAUGAGGCUGAGUGUCUGCCCACAAUCAUAUAAUGAUGAUGUGCCUGCAGAUAUGGUUGCAGAAGAAUCAGGUCCUGGUGCACAAAAUAGUCCAUACCAACUUCGUAGAAAAACUCUUUUGCCGAAAAGAACAGCGUGUCCCACAAAGAACAGUAUGGAGGGCGCCUCAACUUCAACUACAGAAAACUUUGGUCAUCGUGCAAAACGUGCAAGAGUGUCUGGAAAAUCACAAGAUCUAUCAGCAGCACCUGCUGAACAGUAUCUUCAGGAGAAACUGCCAGAUGAAGUGGUUCUAAAAAUCUUCUCUUACUUGCUGGAACAGGAUCUUUGUAGAGCAGCUUGUGUAUGUAAACGCUUCAGUGAACUUGCUAAUGAUCCAAUUUUGUGGAAACGAUUAUAUAUGGAAGUAUUUGAAUAUACUCGCCCUAUGAUGCAUC